AUGAUGGGUGUUCUGGUCCAUCUGGCUCUGGAAAUGCAAACUCCCGCCCAGGGCCUUCAUCACGAUGCUCGCGAUCAUGCUCACGAUGAUGCUCGUCGGGGUAUGGCCUUGGACGAACUGGCACAUGAACCGGCCCUCUUUGAUGACCCAAAUAGUCUUCCUCAGGCCUGUGUUGAUGUCCACCGUGAUGUUUGUGGCCACCUGGGUGGCGUGGAGAACCACGUGAAAAGGGAACAGAUAAGCUGAACUGGUAGCCCAGCUUGGAAGCAUCAUGGCCAUGCUGUCUGCGGGGAUUAUUAAAACUGUUGUCAAUAAUAAGGCCACUCGGUCCGUACCGAGGAGGAUUAGCACCAUCACGAGAAUGAGCAAAAGGGAUCCUCAGGGCUAAGUCAAAGCUCCUGGGCUUGGCCACAAGGUGGUUUCUGUGUGCUCGAGGCUGGAGCGGAGAUGUUUCCAUGGAUCUGUGGGUGGGAAUAUUAGAGCGUGGCUGAUACGAUCUCGGGGAUUCGACUUGGACCCGAUCACGCACAUUAGGGUAGAUCUUUGGAUCCGUCGGCCUCAGAGCCCUCAUGUACUGGAAAGGACGAGGGUUUCCAUACACAUCGUGUUCCCCUCUUCCACCCUGCCAUACUCUAGGCUGCACAGGACUUGUGGCUGAGAGAGAGAGAGAGAGAACAUGGGUAAGAAUGCAGAUUAUAAUCAGGUUGGUAAAACUGAAAACACAUCUACAUCUUCAGUUUGUCAGCAUUGUUUGGACAGAACUUCAGUCUUCAGUUUAAGCCAGUGUCAAAGAUAUUUGCAUUCUUAUACCCUUUUAACAUGAGAGAAGAAAUCACUUGCUUGAGCCACUCACAGAAAGCAUAAUAUUCACACAUUUUUAUACCAUCUACAGUUACCCAGUUUGAAUUGUUCUUUUCCAAAUUUAACAGGGAAGAACUUGACCUUUUAAAGUGAUUACUGGAGUAAAAAGGUAAUAAAACACCAGUGAAACAGCGACGCUUAUGAUGACUGAUUACAAUGCAUCAUAAAUGCAACCUGUAGAGUUUACCCCACUGAAUAAAACCCAGCUGUGACGUUAAAGCAGUGGAGCUCUAAGUGUGCAGCUGUCACAUUAGAAAUGCAGAGAAAGGGUGGUAGUGCAAUUAACAAAUCAGUAAAUUCAUUUUACUGCAGUCUGUUUAAAUACCCUGUUUCAACUGAAUUAAACCUGCUGAUUUGAACAUUAAGCAUACCAGCUUUACCCCGGGAUCUGUAAAGUCCUGAAAAGGUACAGAUUUAGUGAACUUUAUCAUCUGAAGUGGGGGAGCGGAAAAAAACCAAAACCAAAACCCUAAACUGUCUAGAUAACAUACUACAUAAUUUGCACCAGUUUAAAUAAUAAAAAGGACUCUUAAACCUUUCCUUCCAACAACUCAAAUUAUUAAUGUGCUCUAGAUUUUAUUACACAUAAUAUUACAAUUUUUACCAAGGCUACUGCAUCUCCUAUGCCCACAUGUACCCAGUCAGACCUUCUCCCUCAAGCUCCAACAUAAGUCUGUAGAAUAAUCAAGUAUUUUCUAAAGAGAUGCUGCAGACUCUGGGUGCAGGCAUGACUUCGCUGGACUCUUCAGGUCAGACAGUAAGUUAUUUCAUAAACAUCAUUGGCGCAGGUUUCAGCAUGCUCACCUCUUGGAAAAGCUGAGGAGUAGUCUACAUCACUCAAAACAUAAAGCAGUAAAAACCUGUCAAGCAGCACAAACACAGUCAAGAUAAAACCAGACUAAAGGUAACAUUCAAGUACAGUAAGUGCAGAUCAUAAAAGCACAUGUAAACAUUGUACCUUGCAAUUAGGAACCACGCAGCCAUGACUGCUGCAGCUGCACUUGCUGUGUCCUCACAAACCCUCCAGCUGGACUGUGCAUGCAAAGCACUCACACAUCCACAAGUCCCCACACACCAGCUACUCCAACCAAACACCAGUGUGCUUCUGAGUCAAGAGUUCAGGACAUGCUGUUGUCUUUAUAGGUCCUUCCUACUGCAGGUGUUUCCAAUCAGGUUUCUUUAAUGAGAAGUUGAACUGAGGUACCCAACAGGUCAACCCCCCUCCCCCAUACAAGUGUGAGGGACACACACACACACACACACACACAGAGGCAGCCUCACACAGGUGUGCCCACUAGAUGUGAUUGCUCCAGCAGAGAGCACUUACCUGUCUUCUGCAGAGGAUAUGAUGUGAUGCAUGACAGCAGAGGGCUUUCUGCUCAGCUGCUCACUUCUUUUACAUAUACAUGUUCAUUUUGUUCUUCGCUCAAACAUAAACUGUUACUCCAGGGCCUGGCAGGUUUAAUCCAAUCAGAGAAGGCCAAAAAAAUCUGUCUAGAUUCCGACUUUAUGACCCUGAUGAAGACCACAAGCUGAAGCGCAUUGGUCACCAAAUAAAGUAGAUCGCUAAUACUUUAAAUGUCGCUGAAGUCGUCACGUCAUCAGAUUUACCUGUGUUGCUAGAUUCAGACUUUACAAAGGAAAAGUGAAAUAAAAAUUUCAGUCAUGAACGUAUUGUGUUUAUUCAUGAUGCACUGUAUUUCAUACAUCCAAAGUAUAUAUUUAGGACUUGAGUUUUUAUCCAUUAAAAUCAUAAAAAACUGUGAGUGCAGUAAACUUGACUUUCUAAAUUAAUAACUUUAACUGCUUUAAGAAGCCAUGCAUCUCACAGCUAUGACCGUGACUU
ensembl:lncRNA